rnacentral:rRNA from 1 species
AUUGAACGCUGGCGGCAUGCCUUACACAUGCAAGUCGAACGGCAGCACGGGAGCAAUCCUGGUGGCGAGUGGCGAACGGGUGAGUAAAGUAUCGGAACGUGCCCAGUCGUGGGGGAUAACGUAGCGAAAGUUACGCUAAUACCGCAUACGGUCUAUGGAUGAAAGCGGGGGAUCGCAAGACCUCGCGCGAUUGGAGCGGCCGAUAUCAGAUAAGGUAGUUGGUGGGGUAAAGGCUCACCAAGCCGACGAUCUGUAGCUGGUCUGAGAGGACGACCAGCCACACUGGGACUGAGACACGGCCCAGACUCCUACGGGAGGCAGCAGUGGGGAAUUUUGGACAAUGGGCGAAAGCCUGAUCCAGCCAUGCCGCGUGCAGGAUGAAGGCCUUCGGGUUGUAAACUGUUUUUGUACGGAACGAAAAGGUUUGGCCUAAUAAGCUGAGCUCAUGACGGUACCGUAAGAAUAAGCACCGGCUAACUACGUGCCAGCCGCCGCCGUAA